rnacentral:rRNA from 1 species
UAGGGAAUCUUCGGCAAUGGACGAAAGUCUGACCGAGCAACGCCGCGUGAGUGAAGAAGGUGUUCGGAUCGUAAAACUCUGUGGUUAGAGAAGAACAAGGACGUUAGUAACUGAACGUCCACUGACGGUAUCUAACCAGAAAGCCACGGCUAACUACGUGCCAGCAGCCGCGGUAAUACGUAGGUGGCAAGCGUUGUCCGGAUUUAUUGGGCGUAAAGCGAGCGCAGGCGGUUUCUUAAGUCUGAUGUGAAAGCCCCCGGCUCAACCGUGGAGGGUCUGUGGAAACUGGGAGACUAGAGUGCAGAAGGGGGGAGUGGAAUUCCAUGUGUAGCGGUGAAAUGCGUAGAUAUAUGGAGGAACACCAGUGGCGAAGGCGGCUCUCUGGUCUGUAACUGACGCUGAGGCUCGAAAGCGUGGGGAGCAAACAGG